CCUGUGAGCUUCUCCUGGAUCAGGUCCCACUCCUGUUCAGCUCUGACUAAGAACAGCGGUUGGUCCCUGUCACGGAGCUCCAUGAUAGGCCCUGGGAGGUUGUCCUGGUGCUGCACUGAGUGCUCUGGCCAGCUGAGUGUUGGCCUCCUGGGUUCCCCCAGUAACAGCCACAUCUAAAGGGAAGUGGUCAUACAGUUCCAACGCCGCCACCAGCGUGCACUCCAGUCCCGUCGCCCGUGGAGACGAUCGCCAUGGUGCAAGCAGCAGCUCCACCAUUUCUUCACUCAGUUUCCCAGUCAUCAUGAGCUCAGUUCAUAUCCCUGAGAAAAAACAAAUGAGUAUAAAGCACCUGCUUAUCAUCCAGGCUCAGCACCUGCUGCCUCCAGGGGGAAUGGAGUUUGGAAGUGUAUCCUGUCAAUGUGUUGCCUAACUGUGUGCUUACACUACACUACCUACUACAUAACACUAUGGAGUAAGAAAUAAUCAGGGUAGCACUUUACAUUACAGCACUUUAUCCCGUCUACUGUAAUGUAAAGAGAUACUGAUUUAGUUGGGCGGAGGAUGGAGAAUACUUAAGCAUAAAUAAUGACAGACUACUUACCUGGCAGAGAUAAAAGAAAAAUUAUAUGCAGACUUGAUUUUAAGGCUAAUAUCACUAGAGUGUUUUUUCCUCUUGUAUUGAGUAAUCCUUCUCUUCUGGAGGUUUUCCGAGGUGGUAAGUUCUUUAGGAAUAACAUCUGAACCCCAUUCACUUCAAUGUUGACCAAGUCAGUCACAUGCUGCAUUGUAAAUAAACCACAGAACCUGCUUCCAGGAUAUAGAUUUUUUUUCAGGUGGAGCAAGGUGUGUGUAGUCUGGCUGGCCACGACCCACGGGACAACACAGCGAGCUAGAGAGGCUGGUGUUAGCAAGACUACGGAACUUGGGAUCAAGACAUGUGCAGACAUGCCCCAUGACAUCAUGGAAGUAGACUACCUUUAACAGUAUGCUGAGACAGGUGCUGAGCACAGCAGGUGCAACAGAACGACAGCUGUUUGGUCAACAGAAGAAGAUGCU